rnacentral:misc_RNA from 1 species
AAAGUGCGACAAGUGUCACGACUUGCAGAUUCCCGAGAGCUGACAAAUCUCUGAAUGCAAAUUGCAGCCAAGUUUAAGCUGGCUAUGUAUUGCAGAGUGUAAUGAGCUUAAGCUCUUCAUCCCAAUUCUUUCCAAAAGAAGAAUGAGGGGACAUGCGAUUGCCGAAGAAUCCGGUUUCCGGAAUCGAAAGCGAUCGUAAAAGGUAGGAAACCCACGGGUUUGCCUUGAAAUACGAAGGAUUGACUCGUGCAAUGUCUAUUCCCAAAGUUUACCUCUGCGAUGCAGGAAUACCCGCUGAACUUAA